UUCUCAUGUGCAAUAAUUUACUCCAAUUAAGAAAUGUUGGAUCGAUGAGAUCUGGAGCAUACAACUACCGAAACAGUAGAUUUUAGUUCGUACAUGGCUCUGAACUGUAUUCAGAAACGACAGCUGCUGUUCCUGUACUGUUCAGAAUUCAGAACCAGAUCGUGUGAUGUUUCAAACCUUUGCCAACACCGAACAGACAGGCUGCAUUUUUUGAGUCUCUGACAUGUCGUCCGGCCACCUGAAUGUAAUCACUACAGUUUAUACAUCUCAAAACAGUUUCUUCGCCA
rnacentral:lncRNA from 1 species